UACGAAGGGGACUAGCGUUGUUCGGAAUUACUGGGCGUAAAGCGCACGUAGGCGGAUCGAUCAGUCAGGGGUGAAAUCCCAGAGCUCAACUCUGGAACUGCCUUUGAUACUGUCGAUCUAGAGUAUGGAAGAGGUGAGUGGAAUUCCGAGUGUAGAGGUGAAAUUCGUAGAUAUUCGGAGGAACACCAGAAGCGAAGGCGGCUCACUGGCCCGAUACUGACGCUGAGGCGCGAAAGCGUGGGGAGCAAACAGG
rnacentral:rRNA from 1 species